rnacentral:lncRNA from 1 species
AGUUACAAGUUGCUGGAGGGCAGCUGGUAUUAACUCAUCACCAGGGAGAGAGCACAGACAGGCAGGGGCAUGUAGUGCUCACUGGUCCUGUUCCUUCUCAUCCUUCCAGCAACUCCAAGAAAACAAUCUGAACCUAAGACAACAGACGCAGCUGCACCUGGGACAGCAGACACAGCUGGGCCUGGGACAAUGGACACAGCUGUACCUAGAAAAGCAGAAACAGCUGUGCCUGGGAAAAGGAACACAGCUGUGCCUGGAACAGCAGACCCAGCUUCACCUGGGACAGCAGACACAGCAGAACCUAUGAGAACAACCACUCCAACAGUUCUGGCCUCCUGGCCUUCUCUCACCCAGAGCACCAACAGCACCCAGCCCACGGCUCUUACCAGCCCCCUCACCAGGUGAGCAGAGCUGGGCUCCCACAGACCUUUCCCUAGGCUGCCCCAUGACUGCUCCUUCAGAUGCUCUCACCAGGGACCCUCAUGUGGCGCUCGUCAGGGGAGAAACAGUGAAGUCUGUAGUGGGCCUUCCCCUCCCUGUCUACACCUGAGCACUGCAGGAGAUUCUCCCUGAUGAGCUGCAACAGGCUGAGCUCCAGAGAGCAGGCUCUGGGCUCCAUGCUUCACCGAGUCCCUCAAGCCCCAGGAGGCAAAAGCGAGGUGAAGCUUUGGGUGCUCUGGAAGGGCAGCUGUCUGGGUGGCUUUCCUGUGGCUGCUGUAACUGAUCGUUACAAACUUUGUGGCUUAAAACAACACAGUCUCAUGAUCAUACAGCUGUGGAGACCAGAAGUCUGAAAUGGGUCUCACUGGGCUGAAAUCAAGGUGUUAACAGGGCUGGUUCCUUCUAGAGGCUCCAGCGGAGGGCCUGUUCCCUUGCCUUUUCCAGCUUCUGGAGGCCACCCGUGUUCCUUGGCUCAUGGCCCCCUCCUACCCAAAGCCAGCAAAGGUCGGUGGAGUCUCCCACAGAGCAUCGCUCCACUGUCUCUCCUGCCUCCCUCUUUCAUUUAUAAGGACGCUGGUGAUUCCACUGGGCUCAGCCAGAUGAUCCAGGAUAAUCCACCCUGGGUCACCUGACGAGCAGUCUCAAAUCCACCCACUGCCUUAAUUCCCCCUUGCAUGUAAUAAAACAUAUUCACAGGCUUUGGGGUUAUGACAUCGUGGGUGGGGUUCACUAUUCUGCCUACCACAGUCACAGGCAGGGGUGUGCCCAUCGCUCCAACUCUCCAGCCAAGGCUAGGGAAGGGCAGGGCGGGAGAGCGGGAAGCUGGGCCUCUUGCUUUUCUUUCACAUUCCCAGCAUGGUAGAUGGGUGUGGACAUCAAUCCGAAGCCCACCUCCUUUCGAGGGAUCAAUAGGAUGUCUCAUCACCGCGCAAAUGCGGCUGCCCCUGUUUAACCCCAUCACAGCCUGGUGCUUCAGGAUCCCUCAAAGUCCAGGGUCAAGGCCCAUUCUCUCCCUGGAUCCUGCCUUCCCUGCUCCACCGGCUCCCUUCUCCAGCCCAACUCCGUUCCUUUCAAAGGGUCUUGUUCCCUGGAGCCUGCCAGCACCGAUCCUGUGUUCCCUAGGAGUCCGGAAGAGGCGAGGCACUGGGGAUGCUUCCUGACCUGGCCUUCGUCUCGCUCCACUGUUUGCAGAGCGGUUGUUCUGCUGAGUGGGGAUGGCAGUGCCAGGACUUCUAGCGAGACGGGAGAGGCACAAGGGGAAACUUGGCGGGAAGAGACCAAGGGUGCGGCGGCUCCACGGGGAGUGGAACUUGCAAGAAGAACACAGUGGUUUAAAGGGUAUUUUUAGGAUGUGCAAUAUGGCAGGCCUGCUCUCACUCAAGAAAACUCUGAGUUAAAUUCACAUGACUCAUCACUGCUUCCAUGCCCUGGGCUGGAGGCCAGCUUCGGGGAGAGAACAGGGAUGGCCUGAGGGAAAGGGCCCUGGCACUGGGUGUAGGGGAGUGGAUGAGGAAUAAGACUGGGGAAUCAGACUCUUACACGCUGAUGGGGACUCCCCAGAACCCACUCGUUUAGCUAGACCAAAUAUUAAACAUGUGGGUGAUAUGAGGCAGCAGGUCUCAGAUCUGCUGUCAUAAAGUGGGUCCAAGCAGGAGGAGACCCCUCCCAGGAGAACCAAAUAGAUAAAUAGCCAGGUUGUUAGAAGUGGGGGAAUCUUCCUGUGCUUCAAAGAGGUAAUAAUAAUUAGAUUUGAGCUUGAAAGAUGGGCAGAAGUGACAAAGGGAGACACAAGGCAGAGAGAGGAGCAGAAGCAGGAAUACAGGACACAGCAGACCCUCGAGCUUGGCGGGACACAGGAUCCUGCUCUGCAACAUCCACUUCCUGCUCCCGAUCUCCCUGAAGGGGCUGCUGCUCGUGGGCCUGCUCUGCACUGUGCUGCAAGUGAGCAGUGCUAAGGGGGCCUCCAGGGGGAAAUAAAGUCACAGCCUGAGCCGGGGAACCGCAGCUCCCACACCAUCAACACCCUCGGAGGGGGCAAGCAGAACCUCUGGCCUCCUAUCAGGCCUCCUUUCCUUGUGGCUCCAGGAUGACCCUGUCAGAGAUACUGGACUAUCGUUCAGUUGCAGAGGCCCCAGGGCCUGUCUGGACUUUUCCAUCCCAAGAGGGGCUCGGCUCUAUCCCCUUUGUGCCUGUGACCCUCUCCAUCCCCCACCCGGCUCAGAACUGGCACAGCCACCACCAACCACUCCUGAUUCAACCCAAGCUUCGCCCUUUCCACCUCUCGAGCUGUGCAACAACAAAUGCAGGAUGCUCAGCCCUCAUGUGUCAGUCCCCUCAAUUCACUUGUAAUUAAAUAACAACACACCUCUUUUUCUAAUUUUCAAAGGUGUAUAUAUUUCCCCUCAAUAAAGUUGUUAGGAUUAUUUUUCUCUUCCACUUACAUUCUUCCUGAACUCUGCCUGCUCUUUUUUCUUCCAUAUUUUACUUUAAAUACUUUUUUUUGAAUUACUAUAUUUCUUUUCUUAGCUCCUUUUUUUGGAGAGAUCUUGUUGUCUUAACUUCUCUAAGAAGGAGGGGAAUUUUCCAUCUGAACUCUUCCUCUAUUGCCUUGAGCACUUCCUCUCCUGAGACGGGUUCUUCAACUGCCAUUUGCUAGUGUUCAUUUCUUCUCCUUGAUCUCAUCAGCUGUGAACAGGUGCUGGUGUGCUUUAUAACUUUUCUCUGAAUGAGGUUGAAGAUUGGCCAAGAGUAGUGUCAGGAGCCAUGGAGGCAGAGCCAUGGAGGGCAGAGCAUGGAGGGCAGAGUGUGGAAGGCAGAGCCAUGGAGGGCAGAGGGUGGAGGGCAAUGUGGAGGGCAGACCGUGGAAGGCAGAGCCAUGGAGGGCAGAGCAUGGAGGGCUAUUGACACAGUGGAAAGUUUGUUUUCGGGAACACUCACCACUUGCCACAUCUUGACUACCUGUGUCCAUAUGGUUCAUGUGUUGAGAAAGGGCAAGACCUCAGGCUCCAGCAGCCUGCAUGCUGCUAAGCAUAAGAGAACAGCCUGUGUUGUUGCAAUGUGAACCAUGGUCACACAGGCUGGUUGCUAUUGUCAUCUGGAGGCUUCUUCACCCACGAGUCUGGAGCAUGGGCUGGGGUGAUCCAAGACAGCUCUGCUGGGACUGUUGCCCAGAGACCCUACAUGUGGCCUCUCUGUGACAGCUGGGUUCUAAAAGGGAAUAUCUGCAGACCUUCCAGAGGGCAAGCGUUUCAAUAGACUGAAGAGGGAGCUGCAGGGUUUCUUCUGACUUAGCCUUGGAAGCCAUACGGAGGCCCUCUUGCAUUCCCCAUGGGGGCAAAUAUUGGUUCUUGCAGGGUGGAAAAAUAUUUUUACUCUUUCUAGAUACAAAACAGAGAUAUAGAUGGAUGGAUGGAUAGAUAGAUAGAUAGGUAGAUAGAUAGAUAGGUAGGUAGGUAGAUAGAUAGAUAGAUAGAUAGAUAGAUAGAUAGAUAGAUAGACAGGUGAAUGGAUGGAUGUACAAUACAUCUUUGGUAUUAACAUUUCAUGAGGGGAGAUAUUUAGGGAUAUUCUUUUUUUAGGGAUAUUCAUUGUUAUCUUAGGAUAACAAUGAAAAAAUGUUGAGAAACACUGUUCUAGUCCACAAGUUGAAACAGUCACAACCCAGCCAGACCCAAGGGGAGGGGACCUAAGCCACAACUCUUCAUGGAAGGAGUAUCAAGAAAUUUGCAGCCAUGUUUUUAAACUGCCUUGUGGAAGAAUCAUAAUGUAGCGCCUUCAUGUCACAUAUAAGAAUAGCGGGACGUGAAGGGGUGAAGCCACCUGGUCCCCAGUCACAAGGCCAGAGAGCAGAGUUGAUUCUGCCUCUGAAUGGCAGCCUGGAGCUGGCCCACACAGCAUCCCUGCAGGCCCAUCUGUGCACUUUAGAAGGUCACUUCCCAAGCCUGCUGGGGGCACCAUAUGGUCCCAAGAAUAAAAAUGAGGCCCUGAAACACCUAUCCUUUACUCAGAGGUCACAGUCCAGCAGCCAUUACUUGCACAGACAUGUCUUGUUUGGGUUCAGUGGGUGAAUGGUUAAACAAAUUAUUUUACACCCAUGCAAUGAAAUCCUGCUGAGCAAUAGGAAGGAAUCAGCUAUUGGUUGUGGUAAGUGCAACCACUUGUAUGGAUCUCAAGGCUCAGUGAAUUAAAAAGUCAAUCUCAAAAUAUUACAUACUGCAUAAUUUCAUUUGUCCUCAAAAGGAUGACACUGUAGAGAUGGAGAACAGAUUAGUGGUUUCCAGGGGACAGGAAUGGGAUAAGGGUGCAAAUACAAGGGACAGCAUGAGGGAGAUCCUUGUGAUGAUGGAUUGGUUCUGUAUUUUGACGGGGGUGGUAGUUACCUGGAUCUGUAAAAUUGCAUGGAACUCUACACAAACAUAUCCAUAAACCAAUGUAUGUUAAAAACGGUGAAAACUGAACAAAGUCUGCAGUCUAGCUAACAGUAUUGUAACAAUGCUGGUUUCCUGGUUUGGGUCUUGUCCUACAGUUAUAUAAUACAUCACCAUUGAAAGACACUAGAUGAAGGAUUCACAGGACUCUAUGUUAUAUUUGCAAUGUUAAGCCUAUAAUCAUUUCAAAAUAAAAGUUUCAAAAAUUAAAACCUCCAGGGGCUCCCUAUGGCCUCCAGAACACAAUUCAAACUUCUUGGUCUGCCAUGAAGCCCUUUCAGACUGAGGCUCCAGCCCCAUAUCUCACUCCUCCCUCACAUGCACUCUGCACACAUGGUAAUGGUAACGUAGCUCCUGAAGGUCCUGGUAUCCACCAUGCUCUAUGACUCUUCCCUACCAUUGUCUGGGACAAUCAUCCCCCAGUCUUCUGCCCUAUUUUUAUAACUCAAGCCCUCAAUUUUCCUUCUCCGCUUGGCCCUCAUGGGAGUGCCUCCCUUCUGUGCCCCCACAGAGCACUGUGCAGAACCCUGACACAAAUUCUAACACACCGCAUCGCUAUUGUUAGUCUACAUCUUAGACUUCCCUUCUAAAGGAGUAGGGACUCUGCAUAGUUUAAGUCCUUAUCUGUAAUGCCCAGAACAAUGCACCAUAGACACACAAUAAAAGUUUAUUGAAUGAAUGAGUAAAUAAAGGGAAAAAAGAAAGGAAGAAUAGGGGAAAAAAA